UACGGAGGGUGCGAGCGUUGUCCGGAAUCACUGGGCGUAAAGGGCGCGUAGGCGGUGGGGUAAGCGUGUGGUGAAAGUCCGGGGCUCAACCCCGGAUCGGCCGUGCGAACUGCUUCACUUGAGCACUGUAGAGGCAGGUGGAAUUCCGGGUGUAGCGGUGGAAUGCGUAGAGAUCCGGAAGAACACCAGUGGCGAAGGCGGCCUGCUGGGCAGUGGCUGACGCUGAGGCGCGACAGCGUGGGGAGCAAACAGG
rnacentral:rRNA from 1 species